CCAAACAAGAGGAACUCUCCUCCUCUUUAACUUUAUUUCCUUGAUUAGCUCUAAAAAAAUAAUCACCCGGGUGGACCUGGGGGAAAUUUCCGAGGGCUGUUUGAAAGGAGAGGGCUCCUGUUCUGCAGGUGCCGAGGGGACGCGCCUCGCUGCGGGCAGGUAACAGCUUGGAAAAUGUCACCUUUUGGUGGGUAAAGAGAAUGCUGCUCUGUGUAGGCUACAAAAAGUCCAGUACUCUUGAGGAACAAGAAACCCCCCAAGCUUAACCUGCCAAAAAGCAAGGUUACUGAGUCUCUACUGAAACCUCAAGGAGGAGAGCCUGUCCCCAGCUGAAGAAGCAGCAAGGAGGAGGGCCUCUCUGCAGCUCUAUGCUCCUACAGGCAAUGGACCAGAAGUCUUUUCCAAGUGCUUGGCUUCCUUGGGGCCCUGGUGGUGGCAGAGCCUGGCUGCUGAUUAACCUGUGUGGUGACCAGGAACGCGCGUCCCCUGCAACAUGAAUCACGUAUCCUUUCGGUGUUGUGACAAACAAAACAAGGAGAGAAACGCCUUGCAAAAGGCAGUUUGGCUGUGGGAGGAAGUGCCCACCCCGGGAAAUAAAAUAUAUUUCAGGGUAUUAAGAUUGUUCCCUGUUUUUCCCAGAGGUGCAUGUGGGAGUGGAGGGGAUUAAAGCUACAAUAAUAUUCUGUGGGGUUUACAUUUGCAUGUGGUUAGAUUGGUCAGCUAAUAAUUUUAGUCUGUUAAUAUUAUUAUUAUUUUUGCAAACACCUAGGAAAAGAUUCUGAGGUUUUCUCGUGGCCUUUCCAACAUGACCCCUAUGUAUGUGAAACAAGCAGUAACACCAAGCAGUGAAUUAAGCAUGAAGCAGCACUUAAAUAUUGCAGGCAGCGCUCACGAAUAUGAACCCUUUUGGGGAUCCCCACGUUUUUGUGUGGGCAAAGGUUUUUCUCCCUGCAAAAUGCAAGUUAACAAGUCACUGUUCUGGUGAGUCCGAGUCCCAUGUGCAAAUUGUUUCGCUGCUUUGACUGCUGAAUGUCUGCGACAUGGAGUGUGCAGAACUUGAAGAGGUCCAUCUGCUAAGGGAAAUAAUCCUGUGUCAUUGCAAAAUAUGUUUCUGGGUAUGCGUGUAUUUCUCUGUGCUCCUUCUUUGUCAUGAUUCCUCGGUUUAAUUUAAAUACAUGUUUCACUUCUCUCCAUAUUUCAGGUUUAUUGCAGAGUAUGAAAAUCAGGAAGCUUUUUGUUCACUUCAUACAUCUCUUCCAACAAAGCCAGACAUCCGAACCCGGCACAGACUCCAGAGUGAUUAUUGUUACACAUGAUCUAUGGAGCAGAUAAAUUACAGCUUGAUUUUUAUAAGGAAAUCUGGCAAACGGCGCACUCUGAACCAGGACAGAAUGUGGAUUUUCCCACUUUGCUGAAUUCCUGGAGGGAGAGAUGCAAAACCCAGCUGGAUGUGAGGGAACCAUCAGCACGAGCUCCUGAGCCAAAAUAGGAGCUGAAGCCCCAGAAAGUGGUGGGGUAGAGCUGUGAAUCCUAGCAACAGGCGGGGAAAGAACUGUACGUUUCUUCACGUCCUCCAAGUGUUGGUGCCUUCUGGUGCAUCAUUGACAGGAAGAGACACAGACCAUGCAAAGGCCCUCCUUGCUGAUGCAUCAAGAAAGGGCACAUUUUUUUCCAGUGGGAUGGUCUGUUGCACAGGAGCUGCCGGCCAUGCUGUUCCAGUUCAGGGGCUCCUGCUACAGAAAAGAUCAGCUGUUGGAGAACCCAUGGAAAGCCCUGGGGGAGAGCCAUGGCCGCAAGGUAAUCAGCAGGCAAAGUUAUUACCAUUAUGCUGCUAAUUAAUUCCCAGCUCAUUACGUUUCCUGUGGCUAAUUUGUACUCGCCGCUGAUUUGAUUAAACUCAUCUCUAUGCUAAUAAAUGUGUUUUCCAUUUGUUUUAGCGACUGUAGGAAGAGA